rnacentral:rRNA from 1 species
AUUGAACGCUGGCGGCACGCCUAACACAUGCAAGUCGGGCGGUAGCAUGGUUAGUAGCAAUACUAACUGAUGACGAGCGGCGGACGGGUGAGGAACACGUAGGAACCUGCCCAAGAGCGGGGGAUAACUAAGGAAAACUUUAGCUAAUACCGCAUAAUUCUCUGAGGAGAAAAGUUGCCCGUAAGGGUAGCGCUUUUGGAGGGGCCUGCGUCCGAUUAGUUAGUUGGUGAGGUAAUGGCUCACCAAGACUGUGAUCGGUAACUGGUCUGAGAGGACGACCAGUCACACUGGGACUGAGACACGGCCCAGACUCCUACGGGAGGCAGCAGUGGGGAAUCUUGGACAAUGGGGGCAACCCUGAUCCAGCGAUGCCGCGUGGGUGAAGAAGGCCUUCGGGUUGUAAAGCCCUUUAGGCUGGGAAGAAGUUUAUGGGAUGAAUAAUCCUGUAAAUUGACGGUACCAGCAGAAUAAGCACCGGCAAACUCUGUGCCAGCCGCCGCGGUAA